rnacentral:rRNA from 1 species
CAGAUUUGCUAGGGUCGCUCCCAACCCAAUGUGAACGUUACCAAACUGUUGCCUCGGCGGGAUCUCUGCCCCGGGCGCUUUGCAGCCCCGGACCAAGGCGCCCGCCGGAGGACCAACCAAAACUCUUAUUGUAUACCCCCUCGCGGGUUUUUUUAUAAUCUGAGCCUUCUCGGCGCCUCUCGUAGGCGUUUCGAAAAUGAAUCAAAACUUUCAACAACGGAUCUCUUGGUUCUGGCAUCGAUGAAGAACGCAGCGAAAUGCGAUAAGUAAUGUGAAUUGCAGAAUUCAGUGAAUCAUCGAAUCUUUGAACGCACAUUGCGCCCGCCAGUAUUCUGGCGGGCAUGCCUGUCCGAGCGUCAUUUCAACCCUCGAACCCCUCCGGGGGGUCGGCGUUGGGGAUCGGCCCUGCCUUGGCGGUGGCCGUCUCCGAAAUACAGUGGCGGUCUCGCCGCAGCCUCUCCUGCGCAGUAGUUUGCACACUCGCAUCGGGAGCGCGGCGCGUCCACAGCCGUUAAACACCCAACUUCUGAAAUGUUGACCUCGGAUCAGGUAGGAAUACCCGCUGAACUUAAGCAUAUCAAUAAGGCGGAGGAA